rnacentral:lncRNA from 1 species
UUUUGAUUUAAAUGAAUGCAUUUAUUUCCAAAAGAGAGACCAUAAGUUAAACAAACACAUUUCUCUCUUUGCACAUGAAAGCAUUGUUUUGUCACAGAUGUACAGUAUAAUACAUUUAUUUUCUCAAUUGUUUUGUAUUUGUAAGGCGCUGCCAGUUAUUUGGAUGGGUUUGUAAGGAUGAAGCAAAUUGCUCUGUGGGGCUCUAUUCAGGGAACAUAAUAUUCCCACAAAAGCACCAUAAUUCUGCAUGCAGCAACACAAACUGCCACAACACUGCAGCAGCUGGCAGGGUGGAUAGAGUUAGCAUUCUCAAAACCAGCAUGACAACUCCACUCCAAAAGCCCCUUAUAUGCAUAAAUUAAUGAUGAAUGUACAUUGAUUAGCCCCCACCCAGACUCCAAGAAACCCUGCCUUCCUGCAAUAUCAUUUGGAACCUCACCACAGUUGCUUUGUCCACUCAUGAGGCCUGGGGAGCACUUCAGCUUGUCCUUGGAUGGCUCUGGCCUUGUCCACAGCUCUGGAGCCCUGUUCACAGGUGAGCACUGGGCACCUCAGGGACUGUGCUGCAGCCCUGAGCCACGGGGAACAGCCAACAACACUGAACAGCAUCAGCAACAUGCCAGGAGGGGCAUUUUGGGAGCUCUGCCACACAGAAUGCUGAGAGCAAGAACAUCCUGCCAGGGAUCACAUCUGUGUUCCAGCAGCUGGAUAUGAAUUCUGCUGCACCUGUCCUUCUGACCAAGUGCCUCCCUUCUCCAGACAUGCAGGAAGACAAACAAGCUGUCACACAAACACUUUUUGAGCUUAUAUUUUUCAUCACAACUACAACAAACUGGAAAUGUUGUAGUUGUGAUGAAAAACAACCCACAGGUCCAGUGGACGUUGCUGCCCCCAAACUCUCAGGCUUCUCCAGCUGUUUGCCAGCUUCCUCCACAGCUCUAACCAGUUCCCACUUGGCACACUCUGGCUUCCUGAAAUUUGACCACAGAGGCCUUCCUAUCCAUUUCUAAGUCCUUCUGGUUACACAAAAAUGGCUUUUAAAAUCCAAGAAAAUAGAUGUUCUGGAUACAGACUGACUAACCCACAUUACUUAACUCAGGUUAAAGCAGGACUAAGACAAGGCAGGUUGACCUGGAGGCUCAAAUAAAACAAUGUGGGAAUUCACAUUUCAAGUCAAUUUUUCCUGUUUGAUAUUGAAUCUGAGUGAAAAGCUUUUAGCAUGCACAGGUAAAUAGGUCUAUACUGAGUAUAUAAGACAAUAAUAAUGAUAUAUAGUCACAGUGAAUACCUAGAUCCCAUAGGGAAGCCUCCUGUUCUGCUUCUCUCUCUCUAAAAUAUCCCUGCAUUUUCCUAUGUCAGGUGACUUGACCUUUAACUAAAGGCACUUCCUUCACUUCCUGACUAGUUUCUGUGGGGCUGCUGAAGCCAGGCUUCUCCUUGCAUCCUAAUGACCCCUCUCAGCCCAGGAACGUGCUUUUGGGUGCUGCUUCUGUUACCAUACACAGGCUCAGCUUGAUAGAACCCAGCACAGCCGAGUUUAUAUGAGCAGGUGCACUGAAACUGAGCAAGCAAGGAAAAUCUGUGUCAGCAGGAAAAUUGAGAGAGGAGCAGUGCAGGGGGGCCCUAAAGAAACAACCACCCAUUGCCUCAUUGUCUCCUACAAACGUGAGAGCUGGAAGUUUCAUUAAGAGGUCCAACAGUGAUUGAGACACUAACUUCAAGAUCCAGUCUCUACUGGAAUCCUUUAUCCAGAAGUUGUCUGGGAGCCCAUGGUUCUUCUAAGCCAAUCUUUCCAUCAGCUCUUUGUACACAUCAUUAGCAGCUUGUAACAGCUCAGGACCUCAGAAAAUUUACUAUUUAGAGCACUGACAGAUAAUAAUAACAAUGCAGAAGUGAAUUUGGACAGAAAUCUCAGUUUUCUAGGUUUUUUUGCAGGUUAGUGUUAGUUUUGAUCAGUCAGCUCUAAUGUGGAAGCCAGGAAAGAGCUGACUCAGUGAACACACUAAGUGGUGAUUUCACACAGCAUCCUAAUGAUGACAAUGAUGAUGUUGUGGUAACUUGUGCACAGCUACUGAGCAUCACUGGGAGAGAAGGAAGAGCUCUGCAAUAUAUUGCUGUGCUUGCUAUAUUCCUAAUAGACCAGUAGAAUUCCUGCUGUCAGAGUCCUAAGGGAGGUCUUGAACCAUUGCUGGAGCUGGGAGGUGGCAGAAAAAAACAGUGUCAGCAAAAAAACAGUGUCAUCUGAGUUCUCUAAGCUCUCUGCAAAGGUGAGUCAGACCAUUAUCCCUGUUGUGCACAUCUCUGUGACUUACCCCAGAUGAGCACCCCUUGAGAUGCCCAGCCCAUCUUUUCCAAUUCCCAGCCCAUCACUCAUCAAGAUACAACAGAUCCUGGAAGAGUACAGUCCCUGACUUCUGAAGUGGCAGAGACUAAAUCCCAUAAAGAGCAUGAGAGCUGAGAUGAUUUUCCUGCUGCUGGUUGUUACCUAGGAACAUUCUAGAGAACAUUGUUCUCACAACAGGACAGGAAGGCAGUGCUGUUGCAGAGCCAGGACAUACCCACUGCAUGGGUGGGUCCCUCUGCCAGCCACAGCAAAGAGAAUAAUUGCACAGAAAUAACUCUGAUAGGAGGAAGCAGAUUAUCUGUGCACUUGGUAGCAAGUUGGAUAAGGGUGUUGCAGAAUCAUAGAAGGAUUUGGGUUGGAAGGAACCUCAAACACCAACUCAUUCCAAACCCCUGCCAUGGGCAAGGACACCUUCCACUAGAGCAGGAUAGUCCAUGGCCUCGAACACUGCCAGGGGUGGGGCAUGCAUAACUUCAGAGUCUGUAAGAUCCCAGUGCCAGAGCCUCACCACCCCCACAGGGAAGAACCAGAUCAAUUAAUGGCAUUCAGAGAGUUCAACUACACUGGGCUGGUGGGGAGCAAGGGAGAAGAGGCAGCCACCGUGGCUGGGUGGAAGCACAAGGACAGGUCAGACAGAUUUACAAGGAGUUUGAAGUAGGAACUUCUCAGCAUAAGGCAGCAGUUGCAACAAAAUACACUAAUAUCACACAGCAAUCAAUACAGCAAUCGAAAAUUGUGUCAACUUUACAAAGCACCUCCCUAUUUCCAGGAGGAUCAUUAAGAAACAAAAAAAAAAAAAAAGUGCAACUAUUCAAUGCAUUUAACACAGCUGAAACUGUGUUUUAUGUCUAGAGCUGAAGUCAUGGCAUGACUUCAUGUCUGAACCGAGCUAAUGGAAAGGAGCAGACGGAGGAGGACGCUCGGCUCGGGGCGCUGCCCGCUGCCAGGGGUCCCCGCGCUCGGGAAGUCUCUCCCGGCAGGGUCUUUGUCCUCCCAGCCCAUCCAUCCCUUCCCCUGCCCGUGCUGCCCAACCACCCCACGCACCAGGCCACCGACACCUCCCGGCUCCUCACCAGGCUGAGGCCCAGCGGGAAUGAGUGACACACCUCCGGGGUUUUGUGCACGUAAUCCCACACCAACCAUUGCCGGGCAGGCAGCAUAGAAUCCAUGAUUUGUCUGCAUGGUUACAACACCUGCACAUGCCUGAGAUGUGUUCACAGGAGCCAAACACACCUCACACUAGAGGCAAACACAUCCUUGCUUCUCAGGAGCUGCAAGCACUGCUGUGAUACCCGAUUUCCUGGGAUGGAUUUGAGCCUUACAAAUCCACACACAAGAAUGCCAGUGGUUACAAAGCAUGGACUGUAAGAAACUGGUGGGUAAUUAUGAAGGGAUGUGUCUGUGUGGCUCAGCUCCAACAUCAACAGAGGGAAGAGCUCUGCCUAUUGAGUCACCAGCAGCACUUCCUUCCAGCCCCUGGGUUUCCCGACAGGUCCCCAUCUGAGUUACUGCCCAGCCCUACAGUGGCUAAGCUCAUAAAAGCUGCUGAGCUCACAGCCCCAGGGAACAGGGCUCCAGACCCCCACAGCCAGGAGAGCUUUCCUGGCCACCACCAUGCUUCAAGGACAUGGUGCCUCACCAGCCUCUUUAUUACAGCAGCUGAACUGAAUACCAACAACAUCUCAGUCCCAGCCACCACAGAAGCUUUCCAAGAUGCCCUGCCAUCACCAAACAAGGGCUGCAGGAACCACACGAGAGUUUUAGUGUCCCAUCCCUUCAGCUAUCCAUGAGUCCCUAACUGUCCACAGCCCAAGGGCCCCUAUGCUGGAAUGAAGUCCACAUUUCCUCUGCAGGAAAAUCAUUUGGCUAAUGAGAGAUUGUUAAAUGAGAGGAAGAUGGUUCUUAAUCAGAGACCAGAUCCCAUCAAAGACAGCAGACGUGUGCCAGACCCUCACAUGAUCAAAAGGGCAAUGAAUACACAGGCAUUUUUAUUCUACCUUUGAGGUGUGCAAGGUUACCUGAAUUCUUCUACACUUAGUUAUUUUCUGCUAUUUGGUAUAGACUAUUCAUUCACUUUCUAGUUUGUCCUACUGCUUCCUUCUGGUUUUCCUUUUCUCUAUUCCUUUCUCAGUUCCACAUUUUAGGUUCUGUUUCUUCUAUUGUCUCCAUCCCUUCCAACAGAGCUGAACAGUGAACAUGUGCUGAUCUGUCUGCUCCAUGUCAUUCCCCACUAUAACUUUCACUCAACAGAUUUGUUAGCCCCAUAAAAUAGUCACUGAAAAGUUUCCAACAAUAAGAACGACUUAGGACUCUAAAAACCUCAUCUUGCUGGAUCUGGUGCCAGACUACAUGAACAAGCUAAAGCAACUGGUUUGAUGGAGACCAGAGGGUAUCUGCCAGGCUUCUGCAGUAAAGCAUCUGCUCCGCUGCCUGUAGGCUUUCCUGUGCUACUGCAGCAGCACCUUCACAUCUCUACCAGAGCACAGUAAUUCCCCAGGUCUACAGGACAUCUGAAGAUAUUUCUGAAGACCAGAUAAGACAAAGCUGAAAAAUUCAGCUUCAGAACUGCAUGUAUCUCUGAAACAGUAAAUGUUUUGAGUGAUCAGCAUUUCUAGGCAGUGAAACAAAUGAGCGUUUCCAUUCCCGGGGGAAGUGGGAAGCAAGCAAACGCCAUUCCUCUGUUCCGUAGCGUACAGGAAAUCUGAGUGAUUGAUGGCAGCAGUAGGGAAAUGCACAUUCAGCUCAUAUUUCCAAUGUAAAUGACUCGCCACCUCACCCCUCUGCUUCCUGUUCCUUCACAUAUCCCCCACACUCCGGCUGGUAGUUGAAGUAUGUGUGAAUCAGGGAGGAAAAAGGAAAAGGAAACAAGACUUGUUAGACUGCUUCCCCCCACCCCAAUUUAAAUGAGAAAGAGAACAUGCUAAAUCAAAGGGCAAAUAGCUGUUCAAGCCUGAGCUCUUCUCGUACACAGACCCAGGGUGGUGACAUAGGGAUGGACUAAGGAAUCCUGCAGCAUUGUUGCCAAACCCAUCUGUGCCAGGUGCAGAAGGCCCCUGUUUACAGAACAUCUCCUUGCAUUACAAAGGUGAAGGCAGAAGGCAAAGGGCUUUUUAGGAUGCUGCACAGCAUGUGUGGGAUCUGCCCGGUUGGCAGGGAUGCUGAACACAGCGAAGGGCAGGGCAAGAGAAGGACCGCGGGAAAUCGCUGCGGGAGGCGUGGCCCCGCUCUUUCCCAGGCAGCUCACUGAGAGGUGCUUAUUUGUACAAAGCAGCCUCGCAGACCCCAAAGAACCAAUGCUGUCCUGGUGCCCUAAACCAAUGAGUAUGUGACCUACUCGUUCCCACUCUGUCCCUUGACCUUUUCCCAUAGCAUUCUCCAAAAGCAUCACAAGAAAAAUAGCCCUUCUCAGCUCUCCAGAGGCUUUGGAGACAGCAUCAAAGCUCUGUGCUUAUAAACAAUUCCAGCUAGGCCAAAAUGCCAUUCCAGCAUCAGGGGUCCCAGGAUUUCUAAGCCUGUCACAAGGAACUGGAGGCAGAGGGGGCGGGGGGAGGCAGCAUGUGUUGCCAGGGGAAGGGGGAGGUGAGGACCAGGCAGCUGGAGCAUGAGCUGAGCUCCAGGAAAGCCCCGUGGGCUGAGACAGCAUCUGCACACACACCUGAGGCUACACAGGAUCCUCUUGCUUCCUUGCUCAUUACAAACAGCUCUCUUAGCAUAGGCUGAAGGAUCCUUUACCUCACUGAUCCUUCAACCCAACCUUCUUUUCCCUCUUCUCUCACCUUGCUCAUCCAUGAACACUCCAGCAUCCAUUCUGGAGAGGAAUUUACAGCCCAGGUGAAGACAGAGAACUCAACAGACUGCAGAGGGGCAGUCCUUGAGCAUCGAGACUAGUAAUUUGUUAACUCUUCAGGCUUUGAAUAGCAGCUGUCCAACAAAUACUUACAGGAAUCCCUGUCAGCUCCCUCUGCUGUCUCACACCAUCCUUGGCACACUCCUACUUUUUGAUGAGGAAACUUCAACUGUUCCCAGUUUUUGUGUUUCCUGAUAGCUCCAGAUCCAACUUCCCCUGGCAAUAGCUGCACACACUCCUUGAACACCCUCUAAAAAGCAAAUGUCACAGAAGAUGCUCCAUAACUGAGUGAGACUCUCAACUAUCUUCCUAUUCCUGUAAUUUCCAUUUUGCCAGUAUUUGUUCCUCCACAGAAUAUUAAGAGCUGCAAGGAGCCCACAAGGAUCCUCAAAUCAAACUCUUCACUGAAUAGCUCACACAAGGUUGUUGUGAGUGCAAACCCACAACCUUGUGUUAUCAGCACCAUGCUCUAACCAACUGA